GUGCCAGCCGCCGCGGUAAUACGUAGGUGGCGAGCGUUAUCCGGAUUUACUGGGCGUAAAGAGCGCGCAGGCGGUCGUGCAAGUCGGAUGUGAAAGCCCCCGGCUCAACUGGGGAAAGUCAUUCGAUACUGCUCGACUUGAAGGCGGGAGAGGGAAGCGGAAUUCCCGGUGUAGUGGUGAAAUGCGUAGAUAUCGGGAGGAACACCAGUGGCGAAGGCGGCUUCCUGGCCCGUUCUUGACGCUGAGGCGCGAAAGCUAGGGGAGCAAACGGGAUUAGAUACCCCGGUAGUCCUAGCCGUAAACGAUGGACACUAGGUGUUGGUGGUAUCAACCCCGCCAGUGCCGAAGCUAACGCAUUAAGUGUCCCGCCUGGGGAGUACGGCCGCAAGGCUAAA
rnacentral:rRNA from 1 species